rnacentral:rRNA from 1 species
AAUCAACGCUGGCGGCGUGCCUCAGACAUGCAAGUCGAACGCGAAAGGCUCCUUCGGGGGCCGAGUAGAGUGGCGCACGGGUGAGUAACACGUAGGUAAUUUGCCUUUGGGUGGGGAAUAACUCAGGGAAACUUGAGCUAAUACCGCAUAAUGCAGCGGCUCGACAUCGAGACAGUUGGUAAAGCGGGGGAUCGCAAGACCUCGCGCCUGAAGGGAAGCCUGCGGCAGAUUAGCUAGUUGGUAGGGUAAUGGCCUACCAAGGCGACGAUCUGUAACCGGCCUGAGAGGGCGGUCGGUCACACUGACACUGACAUACGGGUC